rnacentral:rRNA from 1 species
AACGAACGCUGGCGGCAUGCCUAACACAUGCAAGUCGAACGAGACCUUCGGGUCUAGUGGCGCACGGGUGCGUAACGCGUGGGAACCUGCCCUUAGGUUCGGAAUAACUCCCCGAAAGGGGUGCUAAUACCGGAUAAUGUCUUCGGACCAAAGAUUUAUCGCCUUUGGAUGGGCCCGCGUUGGAUUAGCUAGUUGGUAGGGUAAAAGCCUACCAAGGCGACGAUCCAUAGCUGGUCUGAGAGGAUGAUCAGCCACACUGGGACUGAGACACGGCCCAGACUCCUACGGGAGGCAGCAGUGGGGAAUAUUGGACAAUGGGCGAAAGCCUGAUCUAGCAAUGUCGCGUGAGUGAUGAAGGCCUUAGGGUUGUAAAGCUCUUUUACCCGGGAUGAUAAUGACAGUACCGGGAGAAUAAGCUCCGGCUAACUCCGUG